CGCUGGCGGAAUGCUUUACACAUGCAAGUCGAACGGUAGAGGGGGCAACCCUUGAGAGUGGCGAACGGGUGAGUAAUAUAUCGGAACGUGCCCAGUCGUGGGGGAUAACGUAGCGAAAGUUACGCUAAUACCGCAUACGAUCUAUGGAUGAAAGCGGGGGAUCGCAAGACCUCGCGCGAUUGGAGCGGCCGAUAUCAGAUUAGGUAGUUGGUGAGGUAAAGGCUCACCAAGCCGACGAUCUGUAGCUGGUCUGAGAGGACGACCAGCCACACUGGGACUGAGACACGGCCCAGACUCCUACGGGAGGCAGCAGUGGGGAAUAUUGGACAAUGGGCGCAAGCCUGAUCCAGCCAUGCCGCGUGCAGGAUGACGGUCCUAUGGAUUGUAAACUGCUUUUGUACAGGAAGAAACACUCCCUCGUGAGGGAGCUUGACGGUACCGUAAGAAUAAGCACCGGCUAACUACGUG
rnacentral:rRNA from 1 species